rnacentral:rRNA from 1 species
GAUGAACGCUGGCGGCGUGCCUAACACAUGCAAGUCGAGCGAUCUUCUUCGGAAGAGAGCGGCGGACGGGUGAGUAACGCGUGGGUAACCUGCCUCAUACACAUGGAUAACAUACCGAAAGGUAUGCUAAUACAAGAUGAUAUAAGAGAUUCGCAUGGAUUUCUUAUCAAAGCUUUUGCGGUAUGAGAUGGACCCGCGUCUGAUUAGCUAGUUGGUAAGGUAAUGGCUUACCAAGGCGACGAUCAGUAGCCGACCUGAGAGGGUGAUCGGCCACAUUGGAACUGAGACACGGUCCAAACUCCUACGGGAGGCAGCAGUGGGGAAUAUUGCACUAUGGGCGAAAGCCUGAUGCAGCAACGCCGCGUGAGCGAUGAAGGCCUUCGGGUCGUAAAGCUCUGUCCUCAAGGAAGAUAAUGACGGUACUUGAGGAGGAAGCCCCGGCUAACUACGUGCCAGCAGCCGCCGUAA